rnacentral:tRNA from 1 species
GUUGAGUUAUUUCAGGAGGUUUGGAAACUCAGCGUGCCUGCCUGAAAAUCCCCAUGUCCCCAGUUCGAUUCUGGGUCUCGGCACCA